GGGGCAUUAGCUCAGUUGGUAGAGCACCUGCAUGGCAUGCAGGGGGUCAACGGUUCGAAUCCGUUAUGCUCCACCA
rnacentral:tRNA from 1 species